UACGGGGGGGGCACGCGUUGUUCGGAAUUACUGGGCGUAAAGGGCUCGUAGGCGGCCAACUAAGUCGGAUGUGAAAUCCCCAGGCUCAACCUGGGAACUGCAUCCGAUACUGGAUGGCUUGAAUCCGGGAGAGGGAUGCAGAAUUCCAGGUGUAGCGGUGAAAUGCGUAGAUAUCUGGAGGAAUACCGGUGGCGAAGGCAGGUCUCUGGGCCGAUACUGACGCUGAGGAGCGAAAGCGUGGGGAGCGAACAGG
rnacentral:rRNA from 1 species